rnacentral:tRNA from 1 species
GCGAACGUGGCGGAACUGGCAGACGCACCAGACUUAGGAUCUGGCGCCCGCAAGGGCAUGGGAGUUCGACUCUCCCCGUUCGCACCA